GAUGAACGCUGGCGGCGUGCCUAAUACAUGCAAGUCGAGCGAACAGAUGAGGAGCUUGCUCCUCUGACGUUAGCGGCGGACGGGUGAGUAACACGUGGAUAACCUACCUAUAAGACUGGGAUAACUACGGGAAACCGGAGCUAAUACCGGAUAAUAUAUUGAACCGCAUGGUUCAAUAGUGAAAGACGGUUUUGCUGUCACUUAUAGAUGGAUCCGCGCCGCAUUAGCUAGUUGGUAAGGUAACGGCUUACCAAGGCAACGAUGCGUAGCCGACCUGAGAGGGUGAUCGGCCACACUGGAACUGAGACACGGUCCAGACUCCUACGGGAGGCAGCAGUAGGGAAUCUUCCGCAAUGGGCGAAAGCCUGACGGAGCAACGCCGCGUGAGUGAUGAAGGUCUUCGGAUCGUAAAACUCUGUUAUUAGGGAAGAACAAAUGUGUAAGUAACUAUGCACGUCUUGACGGUACCUAAUCAGAAAGCCACGGCUAACUACGCG
rnacentral:rRNA from 1 species